GUAGUCCACGCCCUAAACGAUGAUUACUAGAUGUGUGCAAUAUACCGUACGCGUCACAGCUAAAGCGUUAAGUAAUCCACCUGGGGAGUACGGCCGCAAGGCUGAAACUCAAAGGAAUUGACGGGGGCCCGCACAAGCGGAGGAGCAUGUGGUUUAAUUCGAUGAUACGCGAGGAACCUUACCAGGGCUUGAAAGUUAAGGAAUGUCGUAGAAAUAUGACAGUCAGCAAUGACCUAAAACUAGGUGCUGCAUGGCCGUCGUCAGCUCGUGCCGUGAGGUGUUGGGUUAAGUCCCGCAACGAGCGCAACCCCUAUCAUUAGUUGCCAACAGGUUAAGCUGGGGACUCUAAUGAGACUGCCCGCGUAAGCGGUGA
rnacentral:rRNA from 1 species